rnacentral:rRNA from 1 species
UGAUGUAGGCCUUUGGGUCGUAAAGCCCUGUCAAGAGUUAUGAAAGCAGCUUGCUGCUUGUCAAAGGCUCUAAAGGAAGUCACGGCUAACUCUGUGCCAGCAGCCGCGGUAAUACAGAGGUGGCAAGCGUUGUUCGGAAUUAUUGGGCGUAAAGAGCACGUAGGUGGUCAGAUAAGUCAGGUGUAAAAUACCCUUGCUCAACAAGGGGCCUGCAUUUGAAACUGUCCGACUAGAGUACAGAAGGGGAGAAUGGAAUUUCUGAUGGAGCGGUGAAAUGUGUAGAUAUCAGAAGGAACGCCGGUGGCGAAAGCGAUUCUCUAGUAUGUAACUGACACUGAGGUGCGAAAGCUAGGGGAGCAAACAGGAUUAGAUACCCUGGUAGUCCUAGCCGUAAACGAUGGGCACUAAGUAGAGGGGUUUU